rnacentral:rRNA from 1 species
UACGUAGGCAGCAAGCGUUGUUCGGAGUUACUGGGCGUAAAGGGUGUGUAGGCGGUUCUUUAAGUUUGGUGUGAAAUCUCCCGGCUCAACUGGGAGGGUGCGCCGAAUACUGAGGGACUAGAGUACGGGAGAGGAAAGUGGAAUUCCUGGUGUAGCGGUGAAAUACGUAGAUAUCAGGAGGAACACCAGCGGUGUAGACGGCUUUCUGGACCAUUGCUGACGCUGAGACACGAAAGCGUGGGUAGCAAACAGG